rnacentral:lncRNA from 1 species
GCUGGGUAGUCCUAGGUGUGACCACAGUGCCUGUGUGACAGGUACAGCACAGGGCUGAGCAGCACACAGUUGGGCACAUCCGGAAAGCAGUGAUGACGUAAAGGAGACUCUUCCUUCCACCACAUGGGCCCACGGGUCUCCAGUUCACAAUAACCAAUACCAAAGCCAUAGAGCCAUUAAAAAGAAAAUAGAUAUUUGAGAGCCUUGCAAUACGAACUAAGAUUUUCAUUUCAGCAAAAUACGUUCAAGGAGAAUGCCUGCAGCUGAGCAGAGAAUUUAACCUAAGCUUCCUGGCAACUCAAGGUAAAGAAGAACACAAGAAAGAAACUGAAUAAAGUAGAACAGAAUGGAAACAACUAGAAAACAAAUAGAGCACAGGCCAAGGUGGCAGGAGGGAGACCAAAUACAGACGACAAUGAGUAUAAAUGGGUUCUUCUCUAAGAAAAAGGAAAAAAUGGAAUCCAGUGAUCAGCUGCUUACAAGUCAGGCCCGUAACAUGGCGAUGGAGACAGCAUACAAACUAAUGCCUCUCAGGAUCUUUGGCUGGGGAGCAGGGUUGGAGUGACAUCCAGCAUGCAGGGGCUGCCUCCUAUGCCAGGCGAACCCUGGGACUGUCACACCUGUGCACUUCAUCUGACUGCCACAAACACAGCUGCCACCUUCAUCCUCUGGUUCUGAGUCACUCUGGUGAGGCAACCUGGGGAGAACUGCGUUACGUCACUUGUUUUCCAAAAACACUUCCAGGGCCAUCUCUUUCUCUGUACGGUGGAAAAGGUGGUUCUGGGAAGGCUCUUGAUGUCUGCUCUGACUUGAAAACCACUAAGCAGAGCUAAAAAGAGCGUUGCAAGACUCAUAUGUGCUUAAUAGUUUCAGUGUACUUUACAAAACUCAAUUAUUUGUGCUAAUGGAAGAAGGAAUGAGAAGAUAAUGCUAAAUAGGCGCAAACCCUAAUGGCCUUUAGGGUUAGCUUUCCAGUGUGUCGGCACCCGCAGGUCCUGCUUGGCUCUGCUUCCUUUGGAGAGUUUCCCAUCCAGCAUGCAUUCCCAUCUGUGGUGAGCAGGCCCACUCCUCCAGGAAAUGUCACACAUGCCAAGAAAGAAAACUCGGCCCUUGAUGUUUAUUGCUGAAAUACACAAAUCAUAUAACCUCCAUACGCUUCAUUAAGAGUGGAUUAAAAACAAACAAAAACAACCCAACACUGCAUCUAAGUAAACAGAGUGCAAGAAUUCAUCCAGGUACUAAUAACAAGGUAUGUCACCUGAGAUUUCAUGAAACUGACCACCUACGAAUGGGUCUUAAUUAUUCAUCCUGAUGGGAAAUAUGGUUUCAAGAUGUCUGAGGGAGUUUGUCUAAAAUUUAGUAUCCUUGCAAUAGAAAUUUUUAUCUUCAAAAUUCACCUAGCCAUUGCACUUGAAUUGCCACAUGGUGCCCAUCCAACUGCUGCCUUUCAUUGUUACUGAGAAUUUAAUUCUUCCACUUUGAAUACAUGUGUUUCCCAUCUCUUCCAUUUUAGGGAUUAUGUCCUUUGUUCACUGUUGGAACCUUGUGGAGUGCGAAAAACAGGGCCUACACAGAGUCAAGUUCAGUUUGCUGCCCUUCCCUCAGAAAGAGUCACAGAAUUGGUCUUGAGAUCACAUGUUUGUAGGUCUUUCGGCCAUUCUCAGGCCAAGGUCACCUGAUGCUGAUUUCUUUCCUCCAACUCCAGGCCAGCCUCUGCAUCUGCCUUUGAGACACCAAGGGUCCUUAGCACUGGUGGCCUGGGUACAUCAGAGGUAGCUGCUGUCAGGUGUGACAAGAAGCCAUCUUCCUGGGGCAUACACACAGCUGCCACCUCCAUCUUCUGAAGAGAGUCCUUCUGUUAUGGUUUAUAUCUAAAUGCCCGCCCCCCCCCAGCCUCAUGCAAUCGCAGGUGGGGCUUUUGGAAGGUGACUAGAUUGUGGGUAUUUGUAGCUGCCGUGUUGUUAGGAGGUGGGGGCUGAUCAGAAGGGACAUGGCCUGGAAGAGUAUAUCUCCCUUCCCAGCUCUGCACUUCUCUGUUUGCUGGCCUUUGGGUUCAGUAUUUCUCCUCUAU